rnacentral:misc_RNA from 1 species
GAUGAAGAACGUAGUGAAAUGCGAUAAGUAGUGUGAAUUGCAGAAGUACCGUGAAUCAUCGAAUCUUUGAACGCAAAUUGCACUCUCUGGUAUUCCGGGGAGUAUGCCUGUUUGAGGGUCGCUUAACAAACCAUCGAUUUCGUUGCUUUUUUUUUAAAGAGUGAUGUUUAUCGGAUUUGAGCCGUCUUUUUUUUUUAUAUUUAAAAGUGGCUUAAAAUUGAUUUUUUUGGUACGAUCGAAGCGUAUUUUUAUGAUCAAUUUUUGGUUAAAGAAACGCACACGUACCGUUAUUUAUAUGAUGUAAUACGUUUGACUAUUGGAUUUAGUUCAUUCGUAUACGAUAUCUUUCAAUAUUUGACCUCAAAUCAGGUAAGAACACCCGCUGAACUUAAGCAUAUCAAUAAGCGGAGGA